rnacentral:antisense_RNA from 1 species
ACUCGGAAUCCCAUGUGCUGACAGCGGAUUCGCAU